GACGAACGCUGGCGGCGUGCUUAACACAUGCAAGUCGAACGGAAAGGCCCCUUCGGGGGUACUCGAGUGGCGAACGGGUGAGUAACACGUGAGUAACCUGCCCUUGACUUCGGGAUAACUCCAGGAAACUGGGGCUAAUACCGGAUAGGAAUCCUUGCUGCAUGGUGGGGGUUGGAAAGCUUCGGCGGUUUUGGAUGGACUCGCGGCUUAUCAGCUUGUUGGUGGGGUAGUGGCUUACCAAGGCUUUGACGGGUAGCCGGCCUGAGAGGGCGACCGGCCACAUUGGGACUGAGAUACGGCCCAGACUCCUACGGGAGGCAGCAGUGGGGAAUAUUGCACAAUGGGCGGAAGCCUGAUGCAGCAACGCCGCGUGCGGGAUGACGGCCUUCGGGUUGUAAACCGCUUUCAGCAGGGGCGAAGCUUGUGGUGACGGUACCUGCAGAAGAAGCACCGGCUAACUACGUG
rnacentral:rRNA from 1 species